ACUACGGGUGGCAGCAGUGGGGAAUAUUGGGCAAUGGAGGAAACUCUGACCCAGCAAUGCCGCGUGAAUGAAGAAGGUCUUCGGAUUGUAAAGUUCUUUAGUCAGGGAAGAAGUCAAUGACGGUACCUGAAGAAUAAGCUCCGGCUAACUACGUGCCAGCAGCCGCGGGAAUACGUAGGGAGCAAGCGUUGUUCGGAAUGACUGGGCGUAAAGGGUGCGUAGGCGGUUGUACAAGUUAGAAGUGAAAUACCCAGGGCUUAACUCGGGUGCUGCUUCUAAAACUGUAUGACUUGAGUGCAGUAGUGGUUAGUCGAAUUCCUAGUGUCGCCGUGGAAUGCGUAGAUAUUAGGAGGAACACCAGCGGCGAAGGCGGCUAACUGGACUGCACCUGACGCUGAGGCACGAAAGUGUGGGGAGCAAACAGGAUUAGAUACCCCUGUAGUC
rnacentral:rRNA from 1 species